UGUGUGCAUUUCCGCAAAAAUCUGUUGUUCUUCCAUCAAAACCUCAAAUAUAAAUUAUCAUCAUAACCUGCGCCCCCAAAAUAGCGUUGAAAAAUCAUAUUUUUAUAUGUGUGUGUGUUUGUGUGUGUGCGUUGCACGCGUGUCCACCCAUGACCAAGAGCAGCAUGGUGGGUUCUGCUCAUCAGCCAGCAUAACAGAGCGGGCCCUGUGCUGGACACAAUGGGGCAGCAGAGGCUGUAGCCUGGAGGCGAGCAGCCUGGGCUGGCGCUACACUGAAGCCUCUCUUGUCUUCUCGUCAAGCCACGGAGGCCACAAAGGAAGAGGCAACAGAUUGGCCGGGCUGACCACAAUACUGGUUAGAAAGCAGGCCAGCCCCAUCAUUAUACGCUUUUAAUAUGCUCGCUGGUGAAUAGAAAAAUCAUGAUGGGGGAGAAAAAAAAAAAAAGGAAGAGAGAUCAAGCUUAGACGCAAAACCCAACAAGGUUCAAGGAACAGAGGGAGAGGAGGAAAGAGAGAGGAGCUCAUUAGGGGACUGUAGCCUCCCUUCGCUCAGUGUGGGCUCGGAUCCCGUGUUCAUUAGCGUGAAGGGGAACUCGAUGAAAAUCAGCCUCGCCAUGCUAAUCAAAAACAGGGUGCCACAGAAACAUAAAUGUUAUGCACAGUGAAGUCAUAAAAGUCGCCCGCCGCAAUCUAUUUUUACGCUGCUCACCCGUAAAGUGUGAUUAUUUUAAUACCUUGCCGCUUUGUGGUUUUAGGCAGACCCCCAGAGAACGCAACAUGGACUCGCAUACAUGUGGCGCGCACAUUUCUGCAUGAAAAAAGGAUGACACGGAGGCACAUGCGAGCUUGCGCAAGCGCUUCCACGACGCUAACAUCAGCAGGCACACAACCAUAGUGUGAUAGUCUCCUCCCCCAAACCAAAUUUCGCACUACCAAGACUGACCUGUGAGAGGCAGGAGAAUACAGUAUUCAAUCUGAUUAUCGCUACGUUGGGAAACCCCUUUAAACACGAUUUACGAUUGUUGAAUUGCUGAAAUUCAUUCCAGUGAUGGGUAUGCGUGUUGCUGAAAUUCCUUCCAAUUAUCGGUAUGUGUGUACCCCGCUUCAAAUGAGGUAUUACGAUGACUGGUUUCUUGAGACAGUCGGGGAAGACAAAUGUAUUCACACACCCUACACCACAGUAUAAUCAUUCAGGGGCAUACUAAUAACUGAUCUGAAAAAUGUUACAAUUCGGCCGGACUAUUGGAAAAAUUACUCUUCACACUCCACAGGGUGGUCACCCAGGAAAAUCUGAUGAUCGGGCAAUUCGCACACUUUGGUCACUUUGGGUUGAAAAAAAAAAAGCUCAAAUUCAACCUGAUUGUUAGUAUGCAUGUAUUCCAUUUUAAACAUUUACAAAUGUUGGUCCUGGCUAUUUUGCAACCACAAAAAAAGAGAAAAGAUGACUCUUAUCACAUCAUAGGGUAAUCACUCUGGAAAAUCUUUUACGGAUGUUCAAGGAUUGGGUCCAUGCUAAAUUUGAUGUGAAGAGGGGGAGAAAUUGUCAAAUUUGGCCCGAGUAAAAGCAUGCAUGUAACCUGAUAUGACCAUUUCCGACUGUCAGGGCUUGAGCAUUUCAAGGCAAGAUCAAGUAAAAAAAAAAAAUUCACUCUCAUCAUUUCGUUAACCAAAGUAUAAUCACUCAAAAUAAUCUUUUAAUGACAUCUGAAAAUGAAAAAUGCUCAAAUUUGGCUCAGUUAUUGAAAUGUGUACACCCUGUUUUUGCUCGCAAGCAAACAGAUCUUACUUCCCCUCUCAGUAGUGUAAUAAGUUUUGUUCAAAAAUUAUUUUGGAUCGAGAGCAUGAGACAUUGGGAAAUCAAAGCUGAACUAGGUGUCUUUGGACUGCAAGGACAGCGCAAAGAGGAACGGGGAAGAAAAGGCCAAACAGACUUCCAAGCCUUCAUCAUCACACCUCUGUGCCACAGCUUCAUCACGUUCAUGCCAAUGCUGACGACCACUUCAGUGGACGAGAAAAAUGUGAGUCUUUGUGAAAGAAAGACACACACGCACACACACACACACACACACACACACA